GGAAGCCAGUAGAUGUCUGGCAACAGCGGAUGAUGGAGUAGAUGGGGGAGUCUUUUCCGUACUCUCCGGCCCACGCCAUGUUAUUCAACUGACGGUAGCGGGACUGAGCGGAUGUGUUGGUUAUCUUCAGUUAAAUAAUGAUGCAUACCCAUCAUUUGUUCCCACAUGGAAUGUGGAGAGGAUGGACAUAAGUUACUUCAUGAUAAUGGAGUCUGAUCUUGUUAGAAAAAUUGUUGAGUGUUCCAAGGGAUGUACUGUGCCAUGAAAACAUGAGUGGUUUUAUGUCCGAAUGGUGCAGCUGGAAAUUGGCACAUGGGGAGAUGAUGUUGAGGAUAGAAAUUUGUAAGGUGUAAGCCACUCGAGGAGACCCGAAUAGUUAAUGAAUACUGUGGAGUUCUUUAAAAGGUCAGUGCCUGUCGCUUUGGGAGGUGAGAUUAAGAUUACAGCUUCGGUAUCUUCAGAUCAAAAUGGAAUGGUGUGAAUAGUUGUGGCUUUAUUGAAUUACUAACAAUGUAGUUAGGGAAAAGGAAGGCUUGUUAAUGCACAGAUUAUUUCACAGGACUAAUGUAGGUUGGACCUACAAGGUGAGAAAAGUAAUGAGGCUGGCAACACUGUGUGCUUGUGUAGCCUGGUGUGUUCAUCCCUUUUAGAUGCUCAGUGGUUCAGCUCCAUAUGGCCAUCGUGUCAUUUUUUUUUUAUAAGUGGCAGUCUCAAAAAAUUUCACCGAUGCAACAUUGGAAUUUAGAGCAACGUUAUUCCAUAAAGUUUUGUGUUAAACUUGGGGAAUCUGUAUGUCUUAAAAAGCACGUCAUUUUGGAACCUUGGAGAACAUUCAAAAGAAGUGACUGAUGUGCAGCACUGUUGCCAAUGGGAGCUAAUUUGAAGGGAUAAUACUGUUUGAAAAAUAAAUUCCUAGAGAAAGUCUCAUUACUUAUUUCAUGUAACUCAUAUGUUGUAUUAAAUAUGUAGUUGUCAGUAUCUGUAAUGUUUGAAAAUAAAGUGUGAUGACACCAGUA